rfam:Myotis brandtii contig305382, whole genome shotgun sequence.
AGUGGUUCUUGGAUGAUGCACCCCGGAAUUGGGCUUCCUUCUCUCUGGUUCGGGUGUGUCACCUGAGAACUGCA